rnacentral:sRNA from 1 species
GCUGAACAUUGUUGAGAAGAACAGCGAUUCGUACCGAGCUUACACGAGCGGAAAGCGGCUCGUGAAAAUUCUUGAGCAACUCUUUUCAAUUGUGUAGUUGUGAGAUGAUAA